CCUAAAUUUCAUAAUUUUCCGGGCCCUCCUAGACGGUCUCACGCCUUCGGCGUGAGGUUCGCCCCCGCAAAAUUAAGGUUUGGCUACGCCACUGGUUAUAGCUGUACGAUUAUAGCUACAAAGAGUUGAAGUUAUUGUUUAAAGUAAAAUAUAGCUGAAGUUAAUAAAUUAAAGUUUUACAAAAUCUCUCUUCAGACUCGCGCCAGUCGCGCGUUCGCCAAACCUCGACGGCUCAUAUUUUUCGUUCUGCCUUUUUUUCCUGUUUUGCCCCCCCCCCCCAGUGAAAAUUCCUUAAAAAAGGCACUGAAUUUAUGAACGAAAUUUGAUGUUCAGCAAAAUAAUCUGACCAUAAUUUCACGCCAG